rnacentral:rRNA from 1 species
UACAGAGGGGGCAAGCGUUGUUCGGAAUUACUGGGCGUAAAGGGCGCGUAGGCGGUCUGUUAAGUUCGGUGUGAAAGCCCCCGGCUCACCUGGGGAACUGCGCCGGAAACCGACAGACUCGAGUACCGGAGAGGAGGGUGGGAUUCCUGGUGUAGCGGUGAAAUGCGUAGAUAUCAGGAGGAACACCGGUGGCGAAGGCGGCCCUCUGGACGGAUACUGACGCUGGAGGCGCGAAAGCGUGGGGAUCAAACAGG